AACAAGUACCGUGAGGGAAAGUUGAAAAGUACUCUGAAGAGAGAGUAAACAGUACGUGAAACCGCUCAGAGGUAAACGGGUAGAGUUGAACUGCAAGCCUUGGAGAUUCAGCUGAUGAACGUGGUAUGAGCUUGGUUAUAUCAGCCGGCUGUGGGGGUCUGCUUAAUUGCAGGUUGCUGCCUUUGGGUAGUGAUAUGUGAUGCACUUUUCAUGUGUUGCAUGCCUUUGCUGACCGGGCCAGUUCGUCAGUGCACUUCUUCAUGGUAUUCACCACGACCGACGCUGCUGUCAGCCUACUUCACCAACCGCAGGUAGCUCAUUCGUUUUCGGAUGUUUGAGUGUAAUAGCAUGGUGUAGUGUGUUGUGCAGUGCGUCGGAGACGGCGGCACUUAAUGAGCCAACAGUCUGUGGUGUAGUGGUAAGCUCUCUACCCGACCCGUCUUGAAACACGGACCAAGGAGUUUAACAUGUGCGCGAGUCAUUGGGUUCACGAAACCUACAGGCGCAGUGAAAGUAAAUGUUCGGCUUGUCUGAACUGAGGUGAGAUCUUGUCGUUUCUCAUGCGCGGUACUACCAAGCUACGAGCGGCAGGCGCAUCACCGGCCCGUCCCAUGGUGUGGUCAUGGUCCUUCGGGGCUAUGCGUCACCGGGGCGGCGCAUGAGCGUACACGUUGAGACCCGAAAGAUGGUGA
rnacentral:rRNA from 1 species